AUAUGACCGUGAUCCAUGCUUCAACAUCAUUUUGUUAAAGCAUAACAAUAAGAACGCGUCUGAUUUUUUUUAUGGCAUGUCUAACAUAAACCGAUUAAAAAAGGUUGCCGUCAUCUUCGGUUUUGUUGUUGUAUCUCUGCAUAUAGGUACUUAUUUUUUAAAACCAUUGUUAUUGCCUAACAAAACUAAUAAUAUCCAGAAAAGUGAGUGAAUAACCCCUAGGACGUCAAGUCUUUUCAAAUUGAUAAUUGAAAAUUAUAAACUUAAGAAUAUACGGCACUCAUUAAGUUAUAAUUAUUGUAUUGCCUUAAGUGUUAAGAAAUGCGCAUCAGGCGGCCGAGAGGACUCGGAAGAAAGGAAAUAAUGCUUGCAAUCAUAUUGGGAGUUUUUGGUGGUGCAUACAUAUGGAAACCAUUAUUGAUAAAACGGGCUAUUGAUUCUGAUUAUCAAGAGAAUACUGAAUCCGAUAAGUGAUUGGUGUUUUCUGUAGGAAACUAACAAUGGACUGGAAAAAACCACAGAGAAAAAUUAUAGACACCGUAAAGAAAAAACCUAUGCUACAGAUGGGUGGUGCCAUGGUGGUGAUAAUAGGAUUUUUAUUUUCAUACAAACGUUGGAUCGCUCCAAAGAUGAGGCGGCGGCGAUAUGCAGAAGCUGAAAAAUACGCAAGUCACUUGCUCAGUCUGGAGCAAGCAAAGAAGAGUGUUUAGUGGCAAAUUGUUUGUAGUUACAGAGGCAUCUGUUUUGGUGUAUAUAGCAGUUGUAAGAUUAAUUAAUAUAUUAUAAAAGAUGUCUGAA